ACUAUUCUGGAUGGAAGCUUGCAACAGGUCUUAAGACAGCAUUGUCUUAAGACCUGUUGCAAGCUUCCAUCCAGAAUAGU